GGUUAAAAAGCUCGUAGUUGGAUCUUGGAGCGUGUGCUUGCGGUCACACCUAUGGUGUGCACUGCUUGACGUGUUCUUCUAUUUGGUUGCGCGUGUGUGUUCUCUUAGUUGAGUGCCGCACUCGACCGAAACGUUUACCUUGAAAAAAUUAGAGUGUUCAAAGCAGACCUGUUUGUGUCUGAAUAUUCGUGCAUGGAAUAAUGAAAUAUGAAUUCGGUUCUAUUUUGUUGGUUUUCGGAACUCGAGUUAAUGAUUAAGAGGGACAGACGGGGGUAUUAGUACUCUGCCGUUAGAGGUGAAAUUCUUGGAUCGGCGGAAGACUCGCAACUGCGAAAGCAUUUGCCAAGAAUGUUUUCUUUAAUCAAGAACGAUAGUCGGAGGUUCGAAGACGAUCAGAUACCGUCCUAGUUUCGACUGUAAACUAUGCCAGCUAACGAUCAGACAGCGUUCUCUACGACUUGUCUGGCAGUUUCCGGGAAACCAAAGCUUUUGGGUUCCGGGGGAAGUAUGGUUGCAAAGCUGAAACUUAAAGGAAUUGACGGAAGGGCACCACCAGGAGUGGAGCCUGCGGCUUAAUUUGACUCAACACGGGGAAACUCACCCGGCCCGGACACAGUGAGGAUUGACAGAUUGAGAGUUCUUUCUUGAUUCUGUG
rnacentral:rRNA from 1 species